rnacentral:rRNA from 1 species
GACGAACGCUGGCGGCGUGCUUAACACAUGCAAGUCGAACGGAAAGGCCCUGCUUUUGUGGGGUGCUCGAGUGGCGAACGGGUGAGUAACACGUGAGUAACCUGCCCUUGACUUUGGGAUAACUUCAGGAAACUGGGGCUAAUACCGGAUAGGAGCUCCUGCUGCAUGGUGGGGGUUGGAAAGUUUCGGCGGUUGGGGAUGGACUCGCGGCUUAUCAGCUUGUUGGUGGGGUAGUGGCUUACCAAGGCUUUGACGGGUAGCCGGCCUGAGAGGGUGACCGGACACAUUGGGACUGAGAGACGGCCCAGACUCCUACGGGAGGCAGCAGUGGGGAAUAUUGCACAAUGGGCGGAAGCCUGAGGCAGCAACGCCGCGUGCGGGAGAACGGCCUUCGGGUUGUGAACCGCUUUCGCCUGUGACGAAGCGUGAGUGACGGUAAUGGGUAAAGAAGCACCGGCUAACUACGUG